AAUAAGGCUCCACCCACCACCAGAUCACCUCUCAAAGGCCCCGCCUCCAGAUGCCGUCACAGGGGGCAACAGAGUCCGACCUGCACAUUUUGGCAGGGAACACAAACACUCAGCCCAUAGUGCCAGAUUAUUCCAGCUGCCAAGUGGAGACAGGAAUGUGACGGACAGGCUGGUCUUCAAGAUGCUGGUUAAGAAGGCCACUGCAGGGGUGGAGCCCAUGGUGUCAAUGGUUCAUUGGCUGGAGGCCUAAAAAUUAGACCGCGAAAGACAGAUUAACAAGAGAAAGACAAACAGAAGAUUAUUAACAC